GGGUUAUUUUUCGCCACCCCCCAUAUGUUUCGACAAAUAUUACCGUGCACCCACUUGUUUCAAUAAUGAUCGCCGCGCACCCAUUCCGUUAAGUUCUCCCGUUUAAUUUAACGAUUGUUACAGUUAUUUUGGUGAAAGACGAUUUUGUCCACAAUUUGAAUUUCAAAUUAUUAAAUUACAAAAAAAUGCAUCAAUCACUGACAAAGUGCACGUUGAAUUGGGAAAUUGUCUGAAAAACUGUUACAGCCAAAAGUCAAAAUUACCCACAAAAUUUAACAUAUUUACGAGUGAAAAAUUACUAUUUUGCCCUUAAAAAAUAAUGCUCCAAAAGUCUUAUAACGG
rnacentral:lncRNA from 1 species